UUUAUUAAUUGAUUAAAUAGUAUGUCUGCUGAUAUAUUUCUAAAAUGUUUGAUAUAU
rnacentral:sRNA from 1 species